UACGUAGGGUGCAAGCGUUAAUCGGAAUUACUGGGCGUAAAGCGUGCGCAGGCGGUUCUGUAAGACAGAUGUGAAAUCCCCGGGCUCAACCUGGGAACUGCAUUUGUGACUGUAGAGCUGGAGUGCGGCAGAGGGGGAUGGAAUUCCGCGUGUAGCAGUGAAAUGCGUAGAUAUGCGGAGGAACACCGAUGGCGAAGGCAAUCCCCUGGGCCUGCACUGACGCUCAUGCACGAAAGCGUGGGGAGCAAACAGG
rnacentral:rRNA from 1 species